GUUUUGUGACACCAUCACUUUAACAUACAGGCUUUGGCCCUAGACUAGGAGCAAAGGAACACGUUUAUUGAUGGAAGCAGUGGAGAAAGGACUAGAGGUUGGAAAGGAAAGACUCCAAAGUUGCCUGGAGAAAUUAUCCUGAGGAAAAACAAGAUCCAGACAUUUCCGAAAGGGAGGAGUCGGGGGAGGGCAAGGAGGGUUGAAGAUUAGGCAACACUGUGUCGGAAUCAUACAAAUUUGAAAACCGCAACCAAAAACCAGUGCUUUGUGGUGGGGUUUGUUUUUUCCAUUUUAAAUUGCAAGAUAAACAUGGAAGUUUCCGAGGUUCACAAUCUUAGAUUCUAAAGGAAGCAAUAAAAGAGAGAUGCCAGCAGUAAAAGGUCAUCAUACAAAAUUGAGCUGCAUUCACCCCUUCUUCAGUGCACCUUCCCUCCCACCAUUGGUUCUAGAUUCCCGGGCCCAGGAGUUGGAAGCCUUAAUGCUUUCAUUGUGGAAUUUGGGCCACUAGGGGCACACUGUGACCUCAUCAACACGGACAUGGUUCUGGAUUAUGCUACUAAGCCACCCUUGGAGCUGCUGCCGUAGAGAGAGAACUCUGGACUACAGAGACCAGGCAUCUGACCCCUGCGGUAUUUCCUAGACUUUAUGUGUAAUAAGGAAGGAAACGCCAAAUUCCCUGGGUCAGACUCAGAUUUCUUCCAUUUCUGAGUCCAUAACUGAAAACAGUUUCCCUGCAUCCUUCACUGCAUAAAGAAGAGUUUUUUAACAGGCCUGUUUCGCUUCCAAAAAUCCAUUCUGUGAUGGAAACCGUGGGGGCUCAGAAGAUCCAAUGCCAGGAGAAAGUCCAGGGGAAAUGCAAGGCUCGCUCUUGGAAAGCCACAGACAAUCACAGGGCCAUGAAGGACACUUGACACACUUGUCAGCUAUCUGACCCAGGAAGAUGAUUUUAUAUCCUUUUUCUCUGAAGGCAUACCGAGAAGGAUUUAUGUGAUGAUCCUUGGUCCUUCUGCCUCCAACUAGAAUGCAAGCUCAAGAGGAAGUGUGCCUUGCUCAUCAGUCUACCUUAAAACCUAGAAGGGUGCUUGCCACCUAAUAAGUGCUCAACAAGGCCUCCACCCAUUGUCUUGGUUGUCAGAAGCAAAGUAAUCACUUUCCACUGAUUCCUUUCUACACCUAACAACAUAUAGGAGAAAUUCCAGCUUGAGAAUCUUGCAUGUGUUCACCUUGAUGAUUCAAACAUGAACAGCAGGUAUGCAGAUCACUUAAGACUCACCUUGUAAGCCAGGAGCAGACUCCAGCAUACAGAGCAAAGCAUUCUAGACAUGCUGAUAUUUUUAUGUGCCCAAGAACACAACCAUUUACAGCCCAGAGGUACUUGACUGCUAAUGAUCUUUGAAGUUAACAAGGUGGCAGAGAGGAGAAUUCAUCGACAACACCCAUCCCCUUAGCCCUCAGGAAAUAUCUACAAAUGUACCACCACUAAAAGGCAACAAGCCUUUUAUAGAUUCACAGUGAUUUAUAACCUUCUAUUUGGCUGCAGAAGGGAAAAGAAGACCAGUUUUCACAUACCCUGGAGAAGAGCAAAAGGGAAAAUGAAGAACUAUCUGAGAAAUGCUCCUGAAAAUGCUGGAACAAAAGCGAAAUUAUGCAAAGACCCUGGUUAAUCUCCAUAUCAAUUCCAUGGUCCAAAAUUACACAGGUUCUGGAGAAAUAGAUUCCAACAAAAGCCAUGGUAUCCAGAUGAUCGUCCGCUGCCAAGUGCCCCAGUAUGAACGCACAGACGCUGGGUCUAGAGGGGGAGGGGAGUUUGAGAGGGUCCUCAUACCAGGGUUCUGAAAGCUUUCCCAGACUGAGUCAACCAUGUCACUCUUGUAAGUUAUGCAAGAAAAUAAAGUCUCAAGCUCAAGAGUCCUUCUUUUUAGCUUGAAUAUUUUUACAUUCUGAGUAGUAAGAAGUUUGGAAAAAUGCCCUCCUCAAAAUUCCUCAUAUGUUUCUGAAAAUGUUAUGAUGAACUUACAAUUAAAAUAUUUUAGAAAUAUG
rnacentral:lncRNA from 1 species